ACUCCUGCGGGAGGCAGCAGUGGGGAAUUUUGGACAAUGGGCGAAAGCCUGAUCCAGCAAUGCCGCGUGAGUGAAGAAGGCCUUCGGGUUGUAAAGCUCUUUUGUCAGGGAAGAAACGGUGAAAGCUAAUAUCUUUUGCUAAUGACGGUACCUGAAGAAUAAGCACCGGCUAACUACGUGCCAGCAGCCGCGGUAAUACGUAGGGUGCAAGCGUUAAUCGGAAUUACUGGGCGUAAAGCGUGCGCAGGCGGUUUUGUAAGUCUGAUGUGAAAUCCCCGGGCUCAACCUGGGAAUUGCAUUGGAGACUGCAAGGCUAGAAUCUGGCAGAGGGGGGUAGAAUUCCACGUGUAGCAGUGAAAUGCGUAGAUAUGUGGAGGAACACCGAUGGCGAAGGCAGCCCCCUGGGUCAAGAUUGACGCUCAUGCACGAAAGCGUGGGGAGCAAACAGGAUUAGAUACCCUUGUAGUCCCAUG
rnacentral:rRNA from 1 species